UGGGGAAUAUUGGACAAUGGGCGCAAGCCUGAUCCAGCCAUGCCGCGUGAGUGAUGAAGGCCUUAGGGUCGUAAAGCUCUUUCGCUUGGGACAAGAGAAGCUGGCUAAUAUCCGGCAAAUUUGAGGGUACCAGGUAAAGAAGCACCGGCUAACUCC
rnacentral:rRNA from 1 species